UACAGAGGGUGCGAGCGUUAAUCGGAAUUACUGGGCGUAAAGCGUGCGCAGGCGGCUUCGCAAGUCAGACGUGAAAUCCCCGGGCUUAACCUGGGAAUGGCGUUUGAAACUACGGAGCUGGAGUGUGGCAGAGGGAGGUAGAAUUCCACGUGUAGCGGUGAAAUGCGUAGAUAUGUGGAGGAAUACCGAUGGCGAAGGCAGCCUCCUGGGCCAACACUGACGCUCAUGCACGAAAGCGUGGGGAGCAAACAGG
rnacentral:rRNA from 1 species